rnacentral:misc_RNA from 1 species
CCAACUCCAGUUUCCAAACUGAGUUGCUGGAAUGUUCAUUCUGGAAUCACUCCCAAGCCCAAGAACAUCCUGCAUCGGUAUAAUUGCAAUACGGGCUACAGAAGAAACUGCACCUUCGAUCAAGCCCCAUGAUAUAUCCUCUUCCUCAAUAUUUGAUAAAUACUUUAGUACAUUGGAUUUCUCUUCCUGUGGCAAAUUAUCCCACCAACCUCGGAUUGUAUCAUUGUCAUGCGUUCCAGUAUACACUACUUGGUUCUGCUCAUGAUUGUGAGGCAAAUGAGGGUUUUCAGCAUCACUGCCAAAUGCAAACUGGAGUACAGCCAUUCCAGGUGCCUCAAUGGACUUUCUUAGCUGAACAACGUCCUCGGUAAUUACUCCCAAGUCUUCUGCUAUAAUAUUGAUCUUCCCAACAGCUUGUAAGAUAGCAUCAAACAAAGGUUUUCCAGGUCCCACCUUCCAC